GCACAAGCGGUGGAGCAUGUGGCUUAAUUCGACGCAACGCGAAGAACCUUACCAAGGCUUGACAUACACCGGAAACGUCUGGAGACAGGCGCCCCCUUGUGGUCGGUGUACAGGUGGUGCAUGGCUGUCGUCAGCUCGUGUCGUGAGAUGUUGGGUUAAGUCCCGCAACGAGCGCAACCCUUGUCCCGUGUUGCCAGCAGGCCCUUGUGGUGCUGGGGACUCACGGGAGACCGCCGGGGUCAACUCGGAGGAAGGUGGGGACGACGUCAAGUCAUCAUGCCCCUUAUGUCUUGGGCUGCACACGUGCUACAAUGGCCGGUACAAUGAGCUGCGAUACCGUGAGGUGGAGCGAAUCUCAAAAAGCCGGUCUCAGUUCGGAUUGGGGUCUGCAACUCGACCCCAUGAAGUCGGAGUCGCUAGUAAUCGCAGAUCAGCAUUGCUGCGGUGAAUACGUUCCCGGGC
rnacentral:rRNA from 1 species